rnacentral:rRNA from 1 species
GAACGCUGGCGGCGUGCUUAAUACAUGCAAGUCGAACGGAUGAAGGAAGAAAGCUUGCUUCUUCCCGAUUCAGUGGCGAACGGGUGAGUAAUACGUAGGCAACCUGCCCCAAAGCGGGGGAUAGCAGUUGGAAACGACUAUUAAUACCGCAUAGGUAAUAGGGAGGCAUCUCCUUAUUAUUAAAGGUGCGUUUGCACCGCUAUGGGAUGGGCUUACGCUGUAUUAGCUAGUUGGUGAGGUAACGGCCCACCAAGGCGAUGAUACAUAGCCGGUCUGAGAGGAUGAACGGCCACAUUGGGACUGAGACACGGCCCAGACUCCUACGGGAGGCAGCAGUAAGGAAUUUUCGGCAAUGGACGAAAGUCUGACCGAGCAACGCCGCGUGAGUGAUGAAGGUCUUCGGAUCGUAAAGCUCUGUGGUAAAGGAAGAAUACCAUGUUUAGGAAAUGAUUCAUGGCUGACGGUACUUUACUAGAAAGUCACGGCUUACUACGUGCC